UUGAAAUCUUCAGUUUUAUUUGCGUUUCAUGCCAAUUUUUUUGUUCUGCUUCCUAAUGCAUCUGUGCUUAUUUUAAUAUAACGAUCAUAUUUUAAAACAGAUGCUCGAGAAAGAUGGACUUGUUUAUUCUGAGAUUUAUACACCUCGGCAGGCGCAUGUAGCCGGUUGGACACAUAAACAUGACAUUGUGAGAUCAUCACAGUGAUACUGUGAGGCAGGCAGGGCGGGGACGAUCGGGCCCCUCCUGCAGAUGAGGGGGGCCCUCAGCAACGUCGAGACACCUGCCAGGCAACAGCGUGCAUGGGCAGAGCCAGGAGGCCACCAGCACCUGCUGACAUAUCAUGCUGCCUCUCAGGACACGGAUGAGAGAAGAGAGGAAGGAAACCAGGAUCUUAAAAGACAAAAAGACACCAAGAAUGCUUGUGUGCAGAGGGAAGAUCUUGCAAGGGCACACUGGAGGAGACAGCUAUCUACAAACCAGAGAGAGAGGCCUCAGGAGGCACGAAACCUGCCGACCCCUGCUCUGUGACAUCCAGCCUCCAGAAUUGUCCCUGAGCAACGGGAUGUGACGAGCCCCUGUUAUCCUGGACCUCCCCACUAGUCUCCCGUCUCCAGAACAAUCCGCGUUCCAGCUUCCUCCCGGAAACCACCCAGAUUCAGAGAGAAGAGCUAGGAUCCCCCCGGCACCGGUGAGGAUUGUUUCGGCCGCUGGCGGAGGAGACGAGGGGUAAGACAGAACGGCCAACCUGUGGGUCAGCCUCUCUUGCCAACGGGGGUCCCACCAGCUUCCCGGGCCCUUUGUGCCACUGGGUGCCAGAAAGAGCUGGCGUCACCGCAAAGCCCGGCCGUGACUCAUCCACCUCCCCAACUUCGCUCUUAAAAUGCGCUCUCUGGACUUUUCCAGGAAAGCCUGAGUGGCUCAUUGCAGACACCCAUCAUUAACGUGCCUUUCACGCUUCUUAAUUCCCUCCCGGGCUUUAACAAUCCUUGCAAACACGAGCAGGGGAUUCUUCUCAGAGAAAGACAUUCAUCAUGACCGUACCCAACCUCCGUCUCCAAUGCAGGAAUUACGGCAAUCGCCAGUGGGGAAAGGGAGCCAACAGGUAUUUUUAAAGAGGCUCUAUCCGCUGGAGGAUCGAAAAGAAAAUAUCCCCUUUGAGCAUUUAGUCACACACAUCAAAGGAAACAACACUUUCAAUCUUCAUUUGCAUCGUACAGGCAUUAGAUGUGGUCCAGUUACACUGAGCUCCGCUUGAAAAGGCAGAAGUGCCAGUCCUUUCCAAGCCUUGACGGAGACAGAGAGAAAAUGCAGCCAGGCAAAUAAUAUAUCACCCUGCCAAGGCAUUUUCCAUUUUUAAAAGGACAGAACAAUUUUACAUUAUUUCUGGAGCCUCUUUGCAGCAAAUAUCCCUUGACAUUUAUUCUAGCACCCUGGCCGGCUGGCCUAAAAGCCUGGCUGCUCUCGGCCUGCUGUUCCUGUGCGCUGGGCACCGCGUUCUGCCUCUUGGGCCUGAAGCUCCAGACGUGAGAAGGGCAAGUGGCCCGGGUUUUUGAGCACAGGCAGGAGGAGGUUGGCUCUGCAGGAGGGGCCUGCGAAGGCUCCAGCCUGGUGGCAAGAUCAUGGCGUUUCAGGUCACUCGAAGACAGUGAGUGGAGAACCAGCAUUCAGGGCCCAGAGCCUCCGGGUUGAAACCCCACAAGGCAGGCUUGGGGUUUGUCACAGAUAAAACAAUGAAGUGUGCUUGCACUUGACGGGGAGGCCCCUUGGGGAAGUGGAGAACGGCCACCAGUUCUAGAAUAAUUAGCACCAAAUGACUUCUAGUUAGGGUGACAAAUGAGCACAUUUUCCAGAUCCGGAGAAUCAGGACUGGGCUAUUUAUUAGGGGAAAUUUUCCCAACCGGUUUUCUCUUCAAAAAAAAAAAAAAAACAAAAAACUUUUUUUAAUGUGUAUUUAUUUUUGAGAGAGUUGGAGCACAAGUG